UUAUUUUAAAAAUAAAUUUUUAUUUAAACAUUAGAUUAAAGUUGUUUACUUUUUUUUAUAAAAAUGGCACUAUUUGAAGAUUACCUAGAUAUAGAAGCGUUGGAAGAUGAAAUAUCACUAGUUUAUGUUUGAGGUAUAUGUAUGGAGAUUUGCAACAGUUGUUUAGAUCAUAAUUGUUUA